rnacentral:rRNA from 1 species
GGCUCAGAUUGAACGCUGGCGGCAUGCUUUACACAUGCAAGUCGAACGGCAGCACGGGCUUCGGCCUGGUGGCGAGUGGCGAACGGGUGAGUAAUGCAUCGGAACGUGCCCAUUUGUGGGGGAUAACUACGCGAAAGCGUGGCUAAUACCGCAUACGCCCUGAGGGGGAAAGCGGGGGAUUCUUCGGAACCUCGCGCAAUUGGAGCGGCCGAUGUCAGAUUAGCUUGUUGGUGAGGUAAAGGCUCACCAAGGCGACGAUCUGUAGCGGGUCUGAGAGGAUGAUCCGCCACACUGGGACUGAGACACGGCCCAGACUCCUACGGGAGGCAGCAGUGGGGAAUUUUGGACAAUGGGGGCAACCCUGAUCCAGCCAUGCCGCGUGAGUGAAGAAGGCCUUCGGGUUGUAAAGCUCUUUCAGCCGGGAAGAAAACGCACUCUCUAACAUAGGGUGUGGAUGACGGUACCGGAAGAAGAAGCACCGGCUAACUACGUG